GCCGGGUGUUGUGGUUCACGCCUGUAAUCCAGCGGCUCUGGAGGCUGAGACAGGAGGAUAGUGAUUUCAAAGCCAGCCUCAGCAACAGCAAGUCACUAAGCAGCUCAGUGAGACCCUGUCUCU
rnacentral:sRNA from 1 species